rnacentral:rRNA from 1 species
GGGUGCAAUCAUACCAGCACUAUUGCACCGGAUCCCAUCAGAACUCCGCAGUCAAGCGUGCUUGGGCGAGAGUAAUACUAGGAUGGGUGACCAUCCGUGAAGUCCUCUCGUUGCACCAA